rnacentral:rRNA from 1 species
UACGUAGGGUGCAAGCGUUAAUCGGAAUUACUGGGCGUAAAGCGUGCGCAGGCGGUAAUGUAAGUCAGCUGUGAAAUCCCCGGGCUCAACCUGGGAACUGCAUUUGUGACUGCAUUGCUGGAGUGCGGCAGAGGGGGAUGGAAUUCCGCGUGUAGCAGUGAAAUGCGUAGAUAUGCGGAGGAACACCGAUGGCGAAGGCAAUCCCCUGGGCCUGCACUGACGCUCAUGCACGAAAGCGUGGGGAGCAAACAGG